rnacentral:rRNA from 1 species
GAGGAAUAUUGGUCAAUGGACGAAAGUCUGAACCAGCCAUGCCGCGUGAAGGAUGACGGCCCUACGGGUUGUAAACUUCUUUUAUGUAGGAAGAAACCUCUCUUCGUGAAGAGAGCUGACGGUACUACACGAAUAAGCACCGGCUAACUCCGUGCCAGCAGCCGCGGUAAUACGGAGGGUGCAAGCGUUAUCCGGAUUCAUUGGGUUUAAAGGGUGCGUAGGCGGGUUAUUAAGUCAGUGGUGAAAGCCCACAGCUCAACUGUGGAACUGCCAUUGAUACUGAUAACCUUGAAUAUGAUUGAAGUUGGCGGAAUAUGACAUGUAGCGGUGAAAUGCAUAGAUAUGUCAUA